rnacentral:rRNA from 1 species
AGAGUUUGAUCAUGGCUCAGAUUGAACGCUGGCGGCAGGCCUAACACAUGCAAGUCGAGCGGAUGACGGGAGCUUGCUCCUUGAUUCAGCGGCGGACGGGUGAGUAAUGCCUAGGAAUCUGCCUGGUAGUGGGGGACAACGUUUCGAAAGGAACGCUAAUACCGCAUACGUCCUACGGGAGAAAGCAGGGGACCUUCGGGCCUUGCGCUAUCAGAUGAGCCUAGGUCGGAUUAGCUUGUUGGUGAGGUAAUGGCUCACCAAGGCGACGAUCCGUAACUGGUCUGAGAGGAUGAUCAGUCCCUCUGGAACCUGAGACACGGUCCAGACUCCUACGGCAGGCUGC